rnacentral:tRNA from 1 species
GGCAGUGUAGCUUAGUGGAAAAAGCACGGGCUUGGGAAUCCAAAGGGCCUGGGUUCUAAUCCCGGCUCCGCCA